rnacentral:rRNA from 1 species
GAUGAACGCUGGCGGCGUGCCUAAUACAUGCAAGUCGAGCGAACAGACGAGGAGCUUGCUCCUCUGACGUUAGCGGCGGACGGGUGAGUAACACGUGGAUAACCUACCUAUAAGACUGGGAUAACUUCGGGAAACCGGAGCUAAUACCGGAUAAUAUAUUGAACCGCAUGGUUCAAUAGUGAAAGACGGUUUUGCUGUCACUUAUAGAUGGAUCCGCGCCGCAUUAGCUGGUUGGUAAGGUAACGGCUUACCAAGGCAACGAUGCGUAGCCGACCUGAGAGGGUGAUCGGCCACACUGGAACUGAGACACGGUCCAGCCUCCUACGGGAGGCAGCAGUAGGGAAUCUUCCGCAAUGGGCGAAAGCCUGACGGAGCAACGCCGCGUGAGUGAUGAAGGUCUUCGGAUCGUAAAACUCUGUUAUUAGGGAAGAACAAAUGUGUAAGUAACUAUGCACGUCUUGACGGUACCUAAUCAGAAAGCCACGGCUAACUACGUG